CUGAUGUGACGUUCUGUAUCGAGGCUUCGAAACGUGUGUCGAGUAAUGGAGGGGGCGUUUCCGCGAAGCGCGUAUCGAGGCUUGCUUCAUUUAUGGGAGGAGCUGAAAAUGAUGACGUCCGAAGCCUCGCUGCCCGGCUGUACCACGUGACUGGUUCAGGAAGUGGUUCGAACUUUGACAGCGAUAUAAACCCCUCAGACUACAUUCAAAAUGUGGGUGUUUGAUGGAGAGUUGUUAGUGAGAGUUAGAGACAGUUUGGAGGUUUAUGAGAGUGAGGAGAGAAAGUCAGGAGAGAAUGGAGCCAGCUAAGAAGAGGAGGAUGUCCUCCCCUGUGUGGGAACAUUUUGAUCUUAUUCCUCCCAACAAGGUGAAGUGUUUGCUAUGUGCCAGGGAGCUGGGAUAUAACAACAACACCUCAUCCAUGCUUAGGCACUACAGAGCUUUGCAUGAGAAUAAGGGGAACACCGAUCGUGGAGCAAGACCAGGAGAACAAUCUCAAAUAGAUGAAGACCUGGUUACCAUGGUGAUCGAGGACUCCCAGCCAUUUAGCAUUGUGGAGGACAAAGGAUUCAAAAGAUUUGUUAAAUCAUUAAAUCCUAGCUAUGUUCUCCCCACUAAAAAGGUCAUAAAAGCAGUGAAAAUUUAGUUUUUACAGAAUAAAAUGUGAACAGGCAGGACUGAGGCUCAAAGCCUCAGUGUGUAGCUGUCCAUACCUCAACGUUACAAAAGCACAACUACUGUCCACACCCCACCCACACCUCACCUCACAGGAAAUGAUCGUUUCCAUUUUAAGCAUUUCCAAAUAAUCAUUUCCCAUACUGCCAGUAUAAAUAUACACAGUAUACUGCCAUCACUACAAUAUACAUGUUUUACACACUCCUUUUGUUGUUGACAUUUACAGGCUGUGUGCAAAAUGCCACACUCUUCAAAUUCAUGCCAGCUAUUAUUUUUACGUCCAGUAGGUGUCCUGCUAGAGCAAAUGAAGCUUCAAGAAGCUUCGCGUUGGGGUGAACCAAUUGGAUGAAAAGCUUCAGUGCUUCAUGGGGCUUCAUCUGCCCAUCACUACAUUUUAGUUGCCAAUAACUUCAUUGAUUGGUUUGGAUACAUCUGUUCUAUUUGUAAGCGCGCACAUUUAGUUUACUUAUGUAUUCAUACUAAAUUUCUUUGCUUUCUGACUAACUUUUGUCUUUUUAUUUCUUACCUGCCAUCAUCCCUGGGAGUUGCUGGACAGAAGAUGGUAGCCAGGGUUUGAAACCAUUAAAUACAAAGGAAGAUAAUUGGACCACACCACCACUUCCUGCUGAAGGGGGAAUGUGUGUUUUCUUUACUUUAAAAACAAAGUAUUUGUAUUUAAUUAAAUAUUUGAGUUUAGGGUUUAAUGGGGUUUUUGAUUUUCUUCUUUAGUGUUUAGUUUAUUAACAAACUAGAUUGUACUGCAUCGUUUGUGAUUUAUGAUUGUGUUUUGUUUGUUACCCCUCAUGUGUCACAAUGGUCUGAUCAGCCAUUAUAUAUACCCUUGUAUGUCAUUCAUGUUUAGGUCAAUUAUGUAUGUUUGGGCAGUCAUUUGGUUUGUUAAGGUUGCAGUCUUUGCCUGAGUUCAGUUUUGUUUCUUUGACCUCUUUUAUGAGCUCAACAUUUAUUAGUCUUGUAAAUAUAAUUUUUGGGGGUUAAAUAAAUGGAAACUAUAUUUUUCUAAUAAUUCCUGGGACUCCUCCUGUUUUUCAACUCGGUCCAUCACAUAAUAUAAACAAUGAACAGUAUUGGCUCCAUUACAGACCACCCCUGGGGGACAUCACAAGAAAUUUCCAAGCUUAAUGAGGAAUAUUCUCUCAACUUCCUGUCAUUUCCUGUCACAGUGUUUCGCUUAAAUAACAAUAAUUUCACCCCUCCCUCUAGAACAGGGGUCGGCAACCCUAGGCACGCGUGCCAGGAUAAUUGAUGGCACGACCAUAGCUGGACUGGGUGGCCCGAUGGUUGUUUUUUUUUUUGUUUUUUUAUAACAGUAUAAACAAUGAGAGGUGGUGGAUUGGCCAGAUGCUGGCAGAUGUGUAAAAAUAACUCAGUUGUUUGGUGGUGGCUGUGGCGGAGCUUCCACAGAGGCAACAGGUGGAUGAGAGAAAGGUGAGGCAGGAGGAGAGACCUGAGGCGGCCGAGUGUCAGGUGAACUGAACAUCAGGUAAGAAGUUAUGACCUGCAGUCUCUCUGGGUCAGAUAUAAACCAAGUUCAGGUGGAGUUUAUUUUAGCUGUGCUGACUUUUUACUGUCAGUUACAAUAACUCGUACUGCUACUAGCUAGCAUGACGGAGUUUCUAUACAGCUGGUUGGGUGCUAUGAUGUUACUGAUAGUGAACUUUAUUCAUAAGGUUAGUUAGCAGAGUUGCCAACCGUCCCGUGAAAAACAGAAUCGUCUCGUAUUCAGAGAAAAUAUUACGCGUUUCGUGUUGAGCUGAAAAGGAACAGUUUGUCCCGGACUUCAGCUAGAAUGAAAAA
ensembl:lncRNA